AUGUUCAUUGACCAUAACAACGAUGAAAGCACAUCAUAUAAUGUCGUUCUGACACCAUAUAAUGAAGUUAGUCUAACCACAUAAUAUAAUGAUAAGAUCACAUCAUAUAAAGAUGAAUGCACACAAUAUAAGGGUAAACGCACAUAAAAUAAAGACAAUUGUACAACAUAUAAUGCUCUUUGUACAUAAUAUAAGGACACAAUCAUAUCAUAUAAGGAUACAUGCACGACAUAUAAGUAUAAAUGCACAUCACAUAAGGAUGUAAGCACAACAUAUAAGUAUACAUGCACAUCAUAUAAGUAUAUAUGCACAUCAUGUAAGUAUAUAUGCACAUUAUAUAGGUAAAUAUGCACAUCAUAUAAGUAUAUUUGUACACCAUAUAAGUACAUAUGCACAUCAUAUAGGGAUAUUUGCACAGCAUAUAAUGAUAUUUGGACAUCAUAUAAGUAUAUAUGCACAUCAUAAAAGUGUUAAUGCACAUCAUAUUAGGAUGUUUGGACAGCAUAUAAUGUCAACUGGACAUCAUAUAAAUGUUUGUACACAUCAUAUAUUGACAAAUGCACAUCACAUAAGGGUAAAAUCACAUCAUAUAAUGUCAAAUGGCCAUUAUAAGACAGUUUUGGCGUUCCAUAUGUUC
rnacentral:lncRNA from 1 species